GUGCGCGCAUGGGGUUCCGGAAUGAGCCGGGGAAAGCAAGGGGAAGGUUUGGGGUUGGUUCCCGGUUUUGCGCAUGCGUGCACUGCACAAACCAUUUGGCGGGUUUUUCCGGCCACUCUGUUCUGCCACCGUCACUGAGAAGCUCAGCGGUAGCUUUUGGGAAGCAGGACGUUCUCACCAGGAGAGCGUCCUCUCGAGAUUUCUGCUCCCUCCAUUCAGGGCGUUUGGGAGCCACCCCUUCAUUUUUUAAAAAAAAUAUUUCUCUGUGACCGACGGCCGGGGCCUUCUGACGGUCUGAGGUCCUGCUUGGGUCAGUCACCUCCAGUCACGGUCCGCGGAGGGGGGAAGGAUAAGAGGGCGAGGAGCUCAUCGCUCGCCACCCCCGUGGGCUUCUUGGGCGCAGGUCGGAGCUGGGUGGGCCGGCUCCCCGGUCCCUGGCUUGGGCGACCAUGUCCGCAUCCGCCCAGCAGCUGGCGGAGGAGCUGCAGAUCUUCGGCCUAGACUGCGAGGAGGCUCUAAUUGAGAAAUUGGUAGAGCUUUGUGUUCAGUAUGGACAGAAUGAGGAGGGAAUGGUAGGCGAGCUUAUAGCCUUCUGCACCAGCACACAUAAAGUUGGCCUUACCUCAGAGAUCCUGAACUCUUUUGAGCAUGAGUUUCUGAGCAAAAGAUUAUCGAAAGCCAGGCAUAGUACCUGCAAGGACAGUGGCCAUGCAGGAGCUAGAGACAUUGUUUCCAUUCAAGAGCUAAUUGAAGUGGAAGAAGAAGAGGAAAUCCUCUUGAACUCUUACACCACACCUUCAAAGGGUUCUCAGAAGCGAGCUAUCUCUACCCCAGAAACCCCCCUAACAAAAAGGAGUGUGUCAACUCGUAGCCCCCAUCAGCUACUCUCACCGUCAAGUUUCUCUCCAAGUGCUACUCCCUCCCAGAAAUACAACUCACGAAGUAACCGAGGAGAAGUGGUUACCUCCUUCGGCUUAGCACAGGGAGUAUCUUGGUCUGGGAGAGGAGGAGCUGGAAACAUCAGCCUGAAGGUCUUGGGAUGUCCAGAGGCACUAACUGGGAGCUACAAAUCCAUGUUUCAGAAGCUCCCAGACAUUCGAGAAGUUCUGACCUGUAAGAUAGAAGAACUUGGCAGCGAACUCAAGGAACAUUACAAGAUUGAAGCUUUCACUCCUUUGCUAGCCCCAGCACAGGAGCCUGUCACUCUGCUGGGCCAGAUUGGCUGUGAUAGCAACGGGAAGCUGAACAACAAGUCAGUGAUUCUCGAGGGAGACCGGGAACAUUCCUCGGGUGCUCAAAUUCCAGUGGAUUUAUCUGAGCUUAAGGAAUAUUCUCUGUUUCCUGGACAGGUUGUAAUUAUGGAAGGAAUCAACACCACUGGUAGGAAACUUGUUGCCACCAAACUCUACGAGGGUGUGCCACUUCCAUUUUAUCAGCCCACUGAAGAGGAUGCAGACUUUGAGCAAAGCAUGGUCCUGGUUGCCUGUGGACCAUACACCACGUCUGACAGCAUCACGUAUGACCCCCUGCUUGACCUGAUUGCUGUCAUCAACCAUGACCGGCCAGAUGUCUGCAUCCUGUUUGGCCCUUUCCUGGAUGCUAAGCAUGAACAGGUGGAGAAUUGUCUACUGACAAGUCCAUUUGAAGACAUUUUCAAGCAGUGUCUACGAACAAUUAUUGAAGGCACAAGAAGCUCCGGCUCCCACCUUGUCUUUGUCCCGUCAUUGAGAGAUGUGCACCAUGAGCCUGUGUACCCCCAGCCGCCUUUCAGCUACUCCGAUCUGUCUCGAGAGGACAAAAAGCAAGUACAGUUUGUGUCCGAGCCCUGCAGCCUCUCCAUAAACGGAGUGAUCUUCGGCUUGACGUCCACAGAUCUGCUUUUCCACCUGGGGGCCGAGGAGAUCAGUAGGAUAAACUGGGAAUUUUCUCUGAAGGAUUUUCUUCACUACCAGUACAACAUCCAGCUCUGCAGAGAAUCAGGCCCUGACAAAUUUGUUGAGUUGAAGUUGGGCAGCUCCAUUCUGCCGUCAUCCUUGAUGGGAAGGGGCGUGUGAAGCGACUCGCGUGUGAAGCGAGACGGGUGCGGCUCCUUGGCUGAGGUUUGAGAUUCAGUUCUUCCGGAACUUCAGACAGAUUCAGCCGAAUACUCAAGCACAUCUUGACCCAGAGGAGCUACUACCCACUCUACCCGCCCCAGGAAGACAUGGCCAUUGACUAUGAGUCGUUCUAUGUUUACGCACAGCUGCCUGUCACCCCAGAUGUCCUCAUCAUCCCGUCAGAGCUGAGGUACUUUGUGAAGAAGCAGGCAGCUUGGAAAGAAAAGAGGUGGGAGGCCCGCCUGCAGGGACAGCACAACACCUGCUAAGGGCCCUGCAGGUUGGGGGUCUCUUCUCGGCAGCGGGAUGCAGAAAUGAAUGAGCGGACAGAAUCUGUGCUGCCACCCAGAGCUGCCACUCCAGCACAGAAACCUGUUAACAGUGGACACUGCAGAGCAUCAGAUGGAGUCAAGUGUGUCAGAUGGAGAAAACCAGAGCAGGCCAAGGGCAGAGGUGCCUGGAGUUGUGGUGGGUGCUGCACAGAGGAGGGGUCACCAGCUCCCAACUUUUAUUUCCUAAACAUGUGUCUCCCAUACACCCUCUUCUUGCUAUCCCCGGCAUCCUACCAUCCACCCAUCCGUCCACCCAUCCAUUUACCUAACCAUCCAUUCUUCCAUCCAUCCAUCCAUCCAUCCAUCCAUCCGUCCAUCCAUUCAUCUACCCACCCACCCAUCUAUCUAUCCAUCCACGUAACCAUCCAUCCUUUCUUCCAUCCAUCCAUCCUUCCAUCCACCCACCCACCCACUCGUCCAUCCAUCCAUCGACUUAACCAUCCAUCCAUUCAUCCAUCCACUCAUCGACCCACCCGUCCACCCACCCAUGAACUUAACCAUCCAUCCUUUCAUCCAUCCAUCAACCCACCCAUCAACCCACCCAUCCACCCACCCACCCAUCCAUCCACUCAUCCAUAUUCACUGGGUGCCUACCACAUGGCACACACUCUGGGGGACUGGCUAUGAUCCAAUGGAAAAUGGACAUGAACCACAUGACAACGGCACGGAGAGGUCCAUGGUCCAGAGUUUCCCACGGUAUCACAAGGUGACCCAACAUCAAUGGGGGUCCAGAAAGCUUCCCUGAGGGGAGACAUCACAGCUGAGAGCCACAGGAGGCAUGGGGGUGGCCAGGUGAGGUGGAGGGAGCAAAUCGCAGGGCUCAUGGAGAGCAUGUGCAGGGACCUAGCCCUGGAGGCUGGGCACCGCCGACAGCUGACAGGCACAUGUUCAGGGCAGCAGGCAUGGAGCACUGGCUGGAGGCUGAAGAGGCUAGCAGGGGCCCUGCUGCAGGUUUGUGGCCAUGGCAGCACACGAACAGGGCACGUGGCAGUCAGAGUGGUGUUUUUGUCUAUCACCAUGUGGUGUGGAGAAUAGGCAGGCAGCACAUCAUCCUGGCCCCCAAAACCCUUGCGGGCUCCAUUCUCCCCCCACCCCAACCCUGUCACCCAAGUUAUAAGCCUGGACUGGGCCUGACUCCCCUUUCUUCCUCCAUGGCCCUCCAUGGGGGCUAACCUAUCACCUAAUCUCAGCCUUUCAACUUCAUCAUCUCCAUCUCCAGCUCUCACACCACUCUUCAGGACCAAAUUUUCUCUCCCUUCUACGCUAACUGUCCCCAGAAGUGGCCUCUGCCUCUAGUCUGGCCUCCCUCCAGGCUCCCCUCUCCAAAGCUGCCCGGCACCACCUCUGCAGAAAUUCUGCAGUUCAUUCACCAAAAAGAAACACAUGUGGCUCUUAAGCAAAUGAAAAGGUGACCAGCCUCACGCAUCGUAAGAGAAACGCAAACUCUAACUACACCCAAAUUCCUUUGUUUUGUUUAGUUUUUGCCUUUCAGAUGGACAAAAAUCAAAAUAGGUGGAAACCAGGGGCUGGUGAGCCUGAGGAGAAACAGCCCUGUUGACUGUGUGGGGGCCUGGUACCUGGCACAGUCUCCGAGAAGGACAAGCUGACAGAGCUGACAAAAUGACCACUGCAAGCUGGGCACGGUGGUGCGUGCCUGUAGUCCCAGCCACGCAGGAGGCCAAGGCGGGAGGAUGGCUUAAGCCCAGGAGGUCGAGGCUGCAGUCAGCUAUGAUGACACCAUUGUACAUUGUACUCCAGCCUGGGUGACAGAGCAGGACCCUGUCUCUAAAAUAACAAUAAUAAGACACCACUGCAUGUAUCUUUUGCCCCCCAGUCCUCCCAAGUCCCUUCUGGGAAUGUAUUCCGCAGCAGCGCUCGUGCAUGUGUGAAAGGGCUUUUGUACAGAUGACUCACUGCGGCACUGCCUGUCUUGAGAAAGGGCUGGAA